rnacentral:rRNA from 1 species
AUUGAACGCUGGCGGCAGGCCUAACACAUGCAAGUCGAGCGAGCGGCGGACGGGGGAGUAAUGUAUGUGGAUCUGCCCGAUAUAGGGGGAUAACUACUGGAAACGGUAGCUAAUACCGCAUACUCUCUCAUGAACCCAUAUGGGAUUAGCUAUUAGGUGGGGUAAUGGCUCACCUAGGCGACGAUCCCUAGCUGGUCUGAGAGGAUGAUCCGCCACACUGGAACUGAGACACGGUCCAGACUCCUACGGGAGGCAGCAGUGGGGAAUAUUGCACAAUGGGCGCAAGCCUGAUGCAGCCAUGCCGCGUGUAUGAAGAAGGCCCUCGGGUUGUAAAGUACUUUCAGCGGGGAGGCGUUACCGGCAGAAGAAGCACCGGCUAACUCCGUGCCAGCAGCCGCGGUAAUAC